CUGACAGCUGUCAACUGUCCAUGUGCCAAAUGUAACCCAGUAAAGAUAAAAAUUACAUAUUACUCAUCCCUGUUGAUAAUACCUGGUGCCAGUAGGUUUUCAAAUAGGAAUAACUAGACUAUAGAUAAAAAACAAGUAAGUGGGGAAUCAUUUCUACUACCUACCAUUCCUCCUUUGUCAUUAACUCAUUUCCCUUUCUUUUUCUUAUUGAUCCCUUUUCCCUUGCUGUCCAUAUCUACAGAGUUAUUUUCCUUAAAGGAACUUUCAGAAUAUGUUACAAGUCUGUGUCCAUGAAAAUACUGGGCAGCCAGGUAUUGAUGACCACACAUUUCUUUUAGUCAUAUUUUCUUUUGAGCUCAUAAACUAUUUCGGAGUUAUGGGAAGAAAGCUUUAAAGCUUUCAGCUUCUCAUUCUCAAAGAAAAUGAAAUCAAAGAACAAAAAUGAAAUUUACCAAAGGUCACCAAGGUGGUGACCUUUAUGUAGAUACAGACUUGGGUCUGUUUCCCAACUUAAUAUCCAGGGAUUUUUUUUCUAAUUAGACUUUAAGCAUGUUGACUAGUAAACUAUAAGUAACAAUGAUCACGUGGAAGUUGUUUAAUGAGUUGUUUCCAGGGAAGGCACUAGUGGCUCAUUUUUUCAGUCUACCCGAGGUCCCUGUACUUGAAUGUUUGAGAAGCACUUUGUUUCUUUUAAAGAUUUAUUUUACUUGGAUUUUAAUUUUUAUCUUUAUUUUUAGAGAAAACAUCUUGCUCUGUUGCUCAGGCUGGAGCGCAAUGGUGCCAUCGUAGCUUACUGUAACCUUGAACGUCUGUGCUCAAGCAAUCUUCCUGCCUCAGCCUCCUGAGUAGCUGGGACUACAGAGACAGGGUCUUGUUCUAUUGUCCAAGCUGGUCUUGAAUUCCUGACCUCAAGCAAUCCUCCUGCCUCUGCCUCCCAAAGCACUGGGAUUAUUACAGGUAUGAGCCACCGCACUGGGCCGUCAUGCUUACUCUUCGGAGAGAGAAGUGAAGUAUCUGAACGCCUCAGCCUGAGAAUGGGUCAUUUGCAAAGUAAAUAAAGGCAAUGCCAAACGUCAGUACAACAAGCAAUUGAACAGAAUGAUUGCAAACUGCUAAUGAAGGAGAAGGCAAGGUGCGGUUAGGAUGAACUGUAGAAGGACCCGUCCCCUAGAGCUCAUUGAGCAUCCACCCUGCUGUCCGGCUGUCCUCUCCAUAGGGGGCUCGAUGGUCUUUGCCGACUUGAGGAAAUAGGUCACUGUAUUGCAGCAGAUCCUUGGUCGUGGGGCUGGGUUGGUCAUUGCCACUAUUUUAUGGGAUGGGGAAUUUGGAAG
rnacentral:lncRNA from 1 species